CGGGGGGCAGCAGUAAGGAAUAUUGGACAAUGGUCGCAAGACUGAUCCAGCCAUGCCGCGUGCAGGAUGACGGCCCUAUGGGUUGUAAACUGCUUUUAUACGGGAAAAAACCCCUCUACGUGUAGAGGGCUGAUUGUACUGUAAGAAUAAGGAUCGGCUAACUCCGUGCCAGCAGCCGCGGUAAUACGGAGGAUCCAAGCGUUAUCCGGAUUCAUUGGGUUUAAAGGGUGCGUAGGCGGAAUGAUAAGUCAGUGGUGAAAUCUCUCAGCUUAACUGAGAAACUGCCAUUGAUACUGUCAAUCUUGAGUAUAUUUGAUGUGGGCGGAAUGUGUCAUGUAGCGGUGAAAUGCUUAGAUAUGACACAGAACACCGAUUGCGAAGGCAGCUCACAAAACUAUAACUGACGCUGAGGCACGAAAGCGUGGGUAUCAAACAGGAUUAGAUACCCGAGU
rnacentral:rRNA from 1 species